GACACUCUCAGAUCUGCACGUACCGCCUUAAGAGAGGCCCGGCUCGGAUUCACACGGGCCGCCUUUAGAAGUCCCGGGCUCGGAUUCAAGCGUUCCACCUUAAGGGGCCGUAUUUCAUAUUCACACCUGCUGCAGAGCAUUCCGGUGUGAGCGCCCGUGGAGGCCGCGCUCCUCAUUCACAUCUUCGGCGCAGCGCGGGGCGAGCAGUCGUGAGCGUUCGAACCCGGAGGAGUGGAGCAGAUUAGCGGUGGGAGAAACCAUCCGGUGAUCAAAACAGCUGCAGGUUCAAUCUCUGCACCAAUUAGCAGAGCUCUGCUCCCGGACUCGAUCAAUGUCAGCGUUAUUCGUCCAGGGAGGGGCAGCGGUUCAAUAACAAAGGUCAUGGAAAGCCAGCUCUGCGCUGAGGGUGAAGACGUCACCUCACACACUCGACCUGUCCGACGGGCAGAGCCAAGGUCGUCUCCGCGGAGAAGAGGUCUCGGUUUAACACCCGCAGGUCACACGGCGCACCUUUCCUCUGUCACCAGGCGCGAGCUGAGGCCGAACCCGGGGAGAAACCCGAGUCCCUGGAGGCGGCUAAUCCUCCUCAACAAAGGCUGUG